AUAUAGGAGUACAAGGAAAGGGUA
rnacentral:ncRNA from 2 species